rnacentral:rRNA from 1 species
GACGAACGCUGGCGGCGUGCCUAAUACAUGCAAGUCGAGCGGACCACAAAGAAGCUUGCUUCUGAGUGGUUAGCGGCGGACGGGUGAGUAACACGUGGGCAACCUGCCCGUAAGACCGGGAUAACUUCGGGAAACCGGAGCUAAUACCGGAUAACACCGAAGAUCGCAUGAUCUUUGGUUGAAAGGCGGCUUUAGCUGUCACUUACGGAUGGGCCCGCGGCGCAUUAGCUAGUUGGUGAGGUAACGGCUCACCAAGGCGACGAUGCGUAGCCGACCUGAGAGGGUGAUCGGCCACACUGGGACUGAGACACGGCCCAGACUCCUACGGGAGGCAGCAGUAGGGAAUCUUCCGCAAUGGACGAAAGUCUGACGGAGCAACGCCGCGUGAGCGAAGAAGGUCUUCGGAUUGUAAGGCUCUGUUGUUAGGGAAGAACAAGUACCGUUCGAAGAGGGCGGUACCGUGACGGUACCUAACGAGAAAGCCACGGCUAACUACGUGCCAGCCGCCGCGGUAACAC